GACGAACGCUGGCGGCGUGCUUAACACAUGCAAGUCGAACGCUGAAGCCCAGCUUUUGUUGGGUGGAUGAGUGGCGAACGGGUGAGUAACACGUGAGUAACCUGCCCCCUUCUUUGGGAUAACGCCCGGAAACGGGUGCUAAUACUGGAUAUUCACUGGUCUUCGCAUGGGGGUUGGUGGAAAGGGUUUUUCUGGUGGGGGAUGGGCUCGCGGCCUAUCAGCUUGUUGGUGGGGUGAUGGCCUACGAAGGCUUUGACGGGUAGCCGGCCUGAGAGGGUGACCGGGCAGGUGGGGAGUGAGAUACGGCCCAGACUACUACGGGAGGCAGCAGUGGGGAAUAUUGCACAAUGGGCGCAAGCCUGAUGCAGCGACGCAGCGUGAGGGAUGGAGGCCUUCGGGUUGGGAACCUCUUUCGCUCAUGGUCAAGCCGCAACAAUGGUUGUGGUGAGGGUAGUGGGUAAAGAAGCGCCGGCUAACUACGUG
rnacentral:rRNA from 1 species